rnacentral:misc_RNA from 1 species
UGUGAAAGAACUUGAAAUCUAGGACUGUUAAUUUUCUACCACCCUAAAAUGUCAAAAUUCUCAUCAUCGUCUUCAACAUCUUCACUCAAAUGCCUAUAAAGCUCUGAUUUGUUUUCUCCGUACCCAGCAAUGGACUUCAACUUCUUAUACUUGCUCUUCAACAUUGUUUUCAACCUUUGUGAUGGAUUCUCAACCUGAAUUUCACUUGAAGA